GCCUUUGGCUCAGGUCAUGAUCCCAGGCUUUGCACUGGGUGUUAUAUUCAGCUAAUGAAUCAUUGGAUAUUAUAUCAAAAAACUAAUAAUGUACUGUACCUUGGC